rnacentral:snRNA from 2 species
AUACUUACCUGGCAGGGGAGAUACCAUGAUCACGAAGGUGGUUUUCCCAGGGCGAGGCUCAUCCAUUGCACUCCGGAUGUGCUGACCCCUGCGAUUUCCCCAAAUGCGGGAAACUCGACUGCAUAAUUUGUGGUAGUGGGGGACUGCGUUCGCGCUCUCCCCUG